AACCUUUCGGGGGUCAUCCGAUAAAACUGGAAUCCCUUCAGAGAAGAUUAGCAUGGCCCCUGCGCAAGGAUGACGUGAACAAAUCGAGAAGUGUACCAAGUAAAA
rnacentral:snRNA from 1 species